GAUGAACGCUAGCGGCAGGCUUAAUACAUGCAAGUCGAGGGGCAGCAUGAUUGUAGCAAUACAAUUGAUGGCGACCGGCAAACGGGUGCGGAACACGUACACAACCUCCCAAUAAGUGGGGAAUAGCACAGAGAAAUUUGGAUUAAUACCCCGUAACAUAACGAUGUGGCAUCACAUUGUUAUUAUAGAUUUUUCGCUUAUUGAUGGGUGUGCGGCUGAUUAGAUAGUUGGCGGGGUAACGGCCCACCAAGUCUACGAUCAGUAGCUGAUGUGAGAGCAUGAUCAGCCACACGGGCACUGGGACACGGGCCCGACUCCUACGGGAGGCAGCAGUAAGGAAUAUUGGACAAUGGACGCAAGUCUGAUCCAGCCAUGCCGCGUGAAGGAUUAAGGUCCUCUGGAUUGUAAACUUCUUUUAUAAGGGACGAAAAAAGGCUUUUCUAAGUCGUCUGACGGUACCUUAUGAAUAAGCACCGGCUAACUCCGUGCCAGCAGCCGCGAGUAACAC
rnacentral:rRNA from 1 species